rnacentral:rRNA from 1 species
GACAGAGGUUGCAAACGUUGUUCGGAAUUACUGGGCAUAAAGCGCACGUAGGUGGUCCGCUAAGUCGGAUGUGAAAUUCCUCGGCUCAACCGGGGAACGGCAAUCGAUACUGGCGGGCUUGAGGUCCGGAGGGGUGAGUGGAACUCCUGGUGGAGCGGUGAAAUGCGUAGAUAUCAGGAGGAACACCAGUGGCGAAAGCGGCUCACUGGCCGGAAUCUGACACUGAGGUGCGAAAGCUAGGGUAGCAAACGGG